GGCCAAGCAAGGAUGCAAUGCAUGUUCCAAUGUGCACUAACGGCCCUUCUUUACCGAGGUCCAAGCCAGCAGAGACUGCUCCAAUGCUCCCAAUUAUCUGCCAUUGCAGCAAAUAAGUAACCUCUUCAGCCAUUAUCCAGGUCUGCUUCUCCAUUUGCAUCAGCCUCAUCGGCUUCCAUACUUUGCUGAGUGACCGAACAACGAGUUGUCUCGUCGUCUAUCACAUUUGAGUUGGCGUUAUUUGAUGGUGGUUCUCCAGCUUCUUCCAUGGCUUCCCCAGGUUCUGUUUUUCUGUUUGGCAAUCUCAGUCUGUGCCUCUAUCUCUUUUGUUCAUAUGUUACAUGAAUUAGGUGGCUUAUAUCCCACUUUCCAUUGAUUGCUUAGAUAAAGUUGCGUAUAUUUUUUUUACUGUAUAAACUAUUAUUGGAUGGGUCCAUUUUCCACUUGAAUUAUUAUUAUAUUUCACAAUGUCAUUUUUGACAAGGAACCUAAUUCCUUGGAACAUCCUAUCA